UACGUAGGGGGCCAGCGUUGUCCGGAUUCAUUGGGCGUAAAGCGCGUGUAGGCGGCUGGGUAGGUCUGACGUGAAAACUCGAGGCUCAACCUCGAGACGUCGUCGGAAACCACCCGGCUAGAGUCCGGAAGAGGAGAGUGGAAUUCCCGGUGUAGCGGUGAAAUGCGCAGAUAUCGGGAAGAACACCCAUGGCGAAGGCAGCUCUCUGGGACGGUACUGACGCUGAGACGCGAAAGCGUGGGGAGCGAACAGG
rnacentral:rRNA from 1 species